GAAAAAGCAAGGCUCUGUUAUAUUUCAGAAUGGGCUUCCGUAAACUUCAGGGAGAUUUAAAUGCAUCAUUAUUGGGUGAACCUCUGUUGUGUAUUGUGGCUAAAGGUUCAGUGAAUGAUGAUACAUUU